AUUGAACGCUGGCGGCAGGCCUAACACAUGCAAGUCGAGCGGCAGCGACUUAACUGAACCUUCGGGGAACAUUAAGGGCGGCGAGCGGCGGACGGGUGAGUAAUGCCUGGGAAUAUGCCCUGAUGUGGGGGAUAACUAUUGGAAACGAUAGCUAAUACCGCAUAAUCUCUUCGGAGCAAAGAGGGGGACCUUCGGGCCUCUCGCAUCAGGAUUAGCCCAGGUGGGAUUAGCUUGUUGGUGAGGUAAUGGCUCACCAAGGCAACGAUCCCUAGCUGGUCUGAGAGGAUGAUCAGCCACACUGGAACUGAGACACGGUCCAGACUCCUACGGGAGGCAGCAGUGGGGAAUAUUGCACAAUGGGGGAAACCCUGAUGCAGCCAUGCCGCGUGUGUGAAGAAGGCCUUCGGGUUGUAAAGCACUUUCAGUAGGGAGGAAGGUAGUGUAGUUAACACCUGCACUAUUUGACGUUACCUACAGAAGAAGCACCGGCUAACUCCGUGCCAGCAGCCGCGGUAAUACGGAGGGUGCGAGCGUUAAUCGGAAUUACUGGGCGUAAAGCGCAUGCAGGCGGCCUGUUAAGUCAGAUGUGAAAGCCCGGGGCUUAACCUCGGAAUUGCAUUUGAAACUGGCAGGCUAGAGUCUUGUAGAGGGGGGUAGAAUUUCAGGUGUAGCGGUGAAAUGCGUAGAGAUCUGAAGGAAUACCAGUGGCGAAGGCGGCCCCCUGGACAAAGACUGACGCUCAGAUGCGAAAGCGUGGGGAGCAAACAGG
rnacentral:rRNA from 1 species